AACUGCUCACCGUCGUUGCCACAAACCCCAAAAUCACCUCCAACCACAGUCCACAGCGGCAGCCUCCAAUCAAAUCCUCGCGUCGCCAAUUAAGAAACAAAUCCCCUUGCUCCGUCCUCUGCUCCAACACCGGUCACCGCCGCCAGCGAUGCCAUCAUCACCGCCAUCCUCGACCUCCAGGACCGCGGCCUCCUCCGAGAGCGGACCUACUCGGAGCCGCCCAAGUGGAUGCGCGGCAAGUCCCCCGCUCAUUCAACCGCGCCCUCACGCGGAAUCCGUCGAUGCGGCCAAUCAGUCUCAUUUUCUAUAAAUUGCACUCGGUGAAAGUACUUAUAUUUACGAUGAUGGAUUAACUACUUAAUUCUUGAUCAUAUUUAAUAACUGCACGACUCUGUACAUGUAUAAAUGAUCGUGCUGAGUAUUAGACUGCAAUAAUUUGGCUGGAGCUUUGCUUGUUUCAGUGUGCCCUGUGGCAAAAUUUUAGAAUUCUCACGAUAGAACUUGAGAAUAAAUUUCGAUGUUACUGUACGAAUAUUGAGAAUAAAAAUCAUGCCUUGGUCAUUUUCUAGUAAUUACAGUUGGUGAAAAUACUUAUGUCUACCAUGCUGGAUAAACUACUUAAUUCUUGAUCAUAUUUUAGUAAAUACACGACUCUGUACAUGUAUAAAUGAUCGUGCUGAGUAUUAAACUGCUAUAAUUUGGCUGGAGCUUUGCUUGUUUCGACGUGCCCUGUGGCAAAAUUUUACAAGUCUCAUGAUGGAACUUGAGAAUAAAUUUCGAUGUAGAUGUACGAAUAUUAUGAUCUGUAGUUUUGCCACUGUUUGUUGCAUCCUGGAAUCCUCAUAACAUAACAGAUUUUUAGAUCUCAUUAUACUAGUGUGACCUUUAAUUAGUUAUGUACUGAACUAUAUUUUGUUGAACAUGCCACUUUAUCCUGCAUAUGGAGCUCCUGACUACAGCCAUCAAAUGCCCCAGUCUGCUCCUCAAGUAGAACCUUAUGGGGCCUACCGAAGCUGAGAAGGAAGAGAUGGCGCCACGGUGAAUCUUGGCGAUUAAAUAUACCCAGCCAUGUGAUUAAGAGUCUGGAAGAUGAGAAGCAAGAGACCAAUGGAGGUUCAAGACCAUGCUGCUGCUUCCAUGUCUGUUGACACACACGGCCAUCUCGGCCACCUACAGCGGCAUCGGUGGCAAGAGGACGUCGAGAAUUUGGAAGCGCAGGCAGGUUUCUCCAUAUCUCGCUUCAGAUUUCGGGCUUGAAGGUUUAGCAAGUGACUGCAAUCUGGGAAACAGAGGAAGCCGUUGAGCACCUAACCAAGGUGUUCCUACUGAAUCUCAAAAACCAUUUAUGGUACUAAGAGGUCAGUCACCGUAGCAACAAUGCUUGGAGAGCUUCAUGAGUUGAAAAUGUCACCACUCUUUGUAUGUGGAGCUGUCCUCCCGAGGAGCUGGAUGCAGAGUGAAUGAACUACUCGAUCUUGACAUGUAGAAGAAGAAAAUGGUCAAUGGUGGUAGAGUCAGGAGCUGGAUGCGUUUGAAUUUCGCUCGAAACGUGCAAGACGGUGUUGCUACCGGAUUCUGCCACGAACUCAGUUUUAUGUGCCAAGCCUCAGGAUCCCUGACAUGCUUCUGAAGCCUGUUCUUCGGGCUAUAUACGUGCAUCUGGAUCAAGUGCAGUGCAAGGAUCAGUUGACUAGGGCACUACCUGAGCGCCACCACCCAGAUGUCGGCGAGUACACGGCAUCAUUGUCAACACAUUUUACGACUGCCAGAAGAUGGACAUAGGAUGCCUAUCGAGCAUGUCGAGGUGCUCACAACCGUUUGGGCUCUUUACUACACAAUCCACAAGAUUAUGCAAGGGCUUCUUGAUCGGUAUACUGUGGCUGGAUACUCAAGGCCCUCACGAUGUUUGUUGGGAUAGCUAAUUACUUCAGUGGUUGUGUGAAGAAUGUCAAUACAGAAAUACAACAUUGAGAUGCACUGGGUGUCAAGGAUGUAUCACUUGAAAUCUGCCUCAACUUAGUUUGAUUGUGCAACAGUUGUAGAGCAGUAACAUUAACAAUGGAGGAAGCAAGUAGCUAAAUAGUAUCAAUGUAAACAUAUGUAUUUUGUUCAUAGAAGCAAACUUCAGU